GAUUAUUGACAAAGUGCCAGCAGCGGAGAGAACAGGCGGAUCGUAAAGACGCCGUAAAAUCACCCCUGAUAGCUCGAGCCGCGCUGUCCAUGGCGCGGACGCUUU
rnacentral:ncRNA from 1 species